rnacentral:rRNA from 1 species
GACGAACGCUGGCGGCGUGCUUAACACAUGCAAGUCGAACGGAAAGGCCCUGCUUUUGUUGGGUGCUCGUGUGGCGAACGGGUGAGUAACACGUGAGUAACCUGCCCUUUACUUUGGGAUAACUUCAGGAAACUGUUGCUAAUACCGGCUACGUGCUCCUGCUGCAUGGUGGGUGUUGGAAAGUUUCGGCGGUUGGGGAUGGACUCGCGGCUUAUCAGCUUGUUGGUGGGGUAGUGGCUUACCAAGGCUUGGACAGGUAGCCGGCCUGAGAGGGUGACCGGGCACAUUGGGACUGAGAGACGGCCCAGAGUGAUACGGGAGGCAGCAGGGGGGAAUAUUGCACAAUGGGCGGAAGCCUGAGGCAGCAACGCCGGGUGCGGGAUGACGGCCUUCGGGUUGUAAACCGCUUUCGCCUGUGACGAAGCGGGAGUGACGGUAAUGGGUAAAGAAGCACCGGCUAACUACGUG